rnacentral:rRNA from 1 species
GACCCCGUGUCGUGGGGUUACCCACGAAGUUUAUGAUAUAAAUAAGCGGGAGGAGAAGAAACUUACAAGGAUUCCCUUAGUAACGGGCGAAGCCAACCGGAUCAGCCCAGCUUUGAGAAUCGAGCGGCCGCGCUUCGCCUGAAUUGUAGUCCGAGAAGGCCCUCACCGACGGACGGGCCCAAAUCCUCGGAAAGGGGGCCGGAGGGUGAGAGCCCCAUCCGGCCGGACUCGCUGCACCACGAGGGUUGUCGACGAAGCUCGGGUUGUUUGGGAAUGCAGCCCCAAUCGGGCAAAAAUUCUGUCCAAGGCUAAAUAUGGGCUUAGAGACCGACAGCGUAACAAGUACCGCGAGGGAAAGAUGAAAAGGACAUUGAAAAGAGAGUCAAAGAGUGCUUGAAAUUGCCGGAGGGAAGCGGAUGGGGCCGGUGAUGCACCUCGGUCGGAUGCGAACGGCGGUUAGCCGUCCGCCGGCCGGCCGGUGGAUCGAUGCGGUUGCAUCGACAAGCCCUGGACGGAUCGCUCGCUCGAGGGGAUACCGCCGAUGCGCGGCCGAGGACAUGACGCUGCUGCCAUCGGGCGGUAACCGCUGGGUACACGUAUGACGAGGGACGCCGCUGGGUUCUAUCCGACCCGCCUUGAAACACGACUGCGCGAGUCCGACAUGCGCGGCGCGAGUCGACGGCGCGAAAACCCGAAGGCAUUAAGGAAGUUAACGGACGGGAACCUUCCGAGGGUUGUAAUCACCACCACACUCGACAUCUUCGUGAAGGGUUCGAAGUUGGAGCAUGCAUGUCGGACCCAAAGAUGCAGGAACUAUGCCUCGAGCGAGGCGGCCGAGGAAACUUCGGUGGAGGCCUGCGAUACCGACGCGUAACCGCUCGGUCGACUUGGGUAUAGGGGCAAAGACUAAUCAACCAUCUAGUAGCCGGUUCCUCCGAAGUUUCCCCUCAGAUAGCCGGAGCCCACGCAUGAAGUUCCCCAUCGGUAAAGCCAAUGAUUAGAGGUAUCGGGGCGCAACGCCCUUCGACCUAUUCUCAAACUUUAAAUAGGUAGGAGAUUCGCUGCGUAUUGCUUUCGCUUUGGCGGCCGCUGAAUCGAGAGCUGCGGGCCAUUUUGGUAAGUAGAACCGGCGAUGCGGAUGAACCGAAGUCGGUUACGGUGUCUAACCGCGCAGCUAACCCGCAUACACCACAAAGGGUGUUGGUCGAUUAAGACAGCCAGGACGGGUGGUCAUGGAAGUCGAAAACCGCUAAGGAGUGUGUAACAACUCACCGCCAAUCAAUCACCAGCCCUCGAAAAUGGAUGGCGCCGCCACGACCCACACCUCGCCAUCGGGCGCCAAGCCCCGAUGAGUAGGAGGAAAGGGCGGUCGCCGCGAAAACCAGGGCGCCGAACAGCCGAGCGAGCGUCGGGUGCAGAUCUUGGUGGUAGUAGCAAAUAUUCAAAUGAGAACUUUGAAGGCCGAAGAAGGGAAAGGUUCCAUGUGAACGAUAAUGCACAUGGGUUAGCCGAUCCCUAAGAGACGGGGAAGCCCGCCCUGAGAGCGGUUCUCCGCUGAAGAAGCCCGGAAGGGAAUCGGUUAAAAUUCCCCGAGCCGGGCGGCGACGCAACGUUAGGGGAAGUCCUGAGACAUCGGGCGGGCCCGAAGAGUUAUCUUUUCUCGCUUAACAGCCCACCCAAUUUGAAACGGCUCACCGGGUCCAGGUCCGGGGCUGGGGAAGAGCGCCGCGCUCCGGGCCCUAGGCGCUUCUGGGCGGUUUUGAAAUCCCGGAGGAGGGAAUCGUGCCGCCUGCCGGGUCGUAUUCUUAAAAUCCCAGACGUCUCCAAGGUGAACAGCCUCCGCCCAUGGAACAAUGUAGGCAAGGGAAGUCGGCAAAACGAUCCAGAAUCGGGAAAAGGAUUGGCUCGAGGGCUGGCACGGGUCCCCGCCCCAACCUGGCCGGGUGCUGGAUCGCUUGAGUCGUUUUCAAGGCGAAAGGGAGUCGCCAGUAAGCCCGGCCGGGGACGGACGGAAUGCCCCCUCAAGCCUUUCCCAAGGCCGAAUGUUCUAAUUUAACCGGGUAUCCGAAUUACGGGGAAUACGAUCUGUUUUAAUUAAACAGCAUUACAUGGUCCCGCGAUGCUCACGCGAAUAUGAUUUUCUGUUGCCUAAAUGCUCAAAGUGAAGAAAUUCAACCAAGCACGGUAAACGAAGUGGAGUAACUAUGACUUUCUUUAAGGUAGCCAAAUGCCUCGCCAUCUAAUUAGUGAUGAUGAAUGGAUUAACGAGAUUCCACUGUCCCCCGCCUUUACUAUCCAAAGGAAACCCAUGCCAAGGGAACGGGCUUGCAACCCAGCGGGGAAAGAAGACCCGUUGAGCUGACUCUAGUCCCGACUCCAGGAAAUGACUUGAGAGGUGUAGAUAUGGGGAGUUUGGUUCACGCGGAAGUGAAAUACCACUACUUUAACGUUAUUUUUACUUAUUCCGCGGAGUCGGAGGCGCGGUAGCUCUUCUCUCUUUUGACUCCGCGUCCGCCACGUACGACAUCCCGCGUAAGACAUUGUCGUGGGAGUUUAUUAGCGGCACAUCCGUUAAAAGAUAACGAGGGUGUCCUAAGAUGAGCUCAACGAGAAUAGAAUUGCAGUGCAUCCAUCGAUGUUGGUCGGAUGGAUGCACAUUGAAGUUGCCGCCGCGUGCACACAAGCACCAACCAAUGCGCCAAUGGCCCGCCCGCUAGACCGCAUCAUGACCGCUUCCUGCAAGGAUCGUCUGGCCAUUGCUAGCUUCAUCGAAUCAGUUGGCACUCUACCACACGCAUCGUGGUUCCUCGUGAUUACCGAAUACGCCACACUGGAUACCUCACUUAAGUUCACGCGCGCGCCCGCCGGAUAUUUUC